CGUAUGGUAGUGCAUCCCGAUUACGACGUGAGGGUGAGUAAUGCCUAGGAAUCUUACGAAACGUGCCCGAUAGUGGGGGACAACGUUUCGAAAGGAACUGUAGUUACCGCAUACGUCCUACGCUGAUGUAGGGGGCUCUUCGGACCUCACGCUAUCGGAUGAGCCUAGUUGUAUAUAGCUAGUUGGUGGGGUAAAGGCUCACCAAGGCGACGAUCCGUAACUGGUCUGAGAGGAUGAUCAGUCACACUGGAACUGAGACACGGUCCAGACUCCUACGGGAGGCAGCAGUGGGGAAUAUUGGAACCAAUGGGCGAAAGCCUGAUCCAGCCAUGUACGUAGUGAAGAAGGUCUUCGGAUUGUACGUAGUUAAGUUGGGAGGAAGGCUGCUGUAAGCGAAUACCUUGCAGUUUUGACGUUACCGACAGAAUAAGCAAUGACCGGCUAACUUCGUGCCAGCAGCCGCGGUCGUAGUGUGCAAGCGUUAAUCGGAAUUACUGGGCGUAAAGCGCGCGUCAGACAGAGGUGUUUGGUAAGUUGCGUGCCCCGGGCUCAACCUGGGAACUGCAUCCAAAACUGCAUGAUGAUAGGGUGGUGGAAUUUCCCAUCUGACGUUGUGUAGCGGUGAAAUGCGUAGAUAUAGGAAGGAACACGUGAGGCGAAGGCGACCACCUGGACUGAUACUGACGUAGUGGUGCGAAAGCGUGGGGAGCAAACAGGCGUGAUGAUACCCUGGUAGUCCACCGUGAUCGAUGUCGACUAGCCGUUGGGCUCCUUGAGAGCUUCGUACAUCGUAUAACGCAUUAAGUCGACCGCCUGGGGAGCAAUGCGCAAAGGUUAAAACUCAAAUGAAUUGACGGGGGCCCGCACAAGCGGACUGUGUGGAGCAUGUGGUUUAAUUCGACUGACGCGACUUACCUGGCCUUGACACAUGCUGCUGAUCAGUGGAGAUGGAUUGGUGCGUGAUGAACUCAGACACAGGUGCUCAUUG
rnacentral:rRNA from 1 species